rnacentral:rRNA from 1 species
GACGAACGCUGGCGGCGUGCUUAACACAUGCAAGUCGAACGGAAAGGCCCUGCUUUUGUGGGGUGCUCGAGUGGCGAACGGGUGAGUAACACGUGAGUAACCUGCCCUUGACUUUGGGAUAACUUCAGGAAACUGGGGCUAAUACCGGAUAGGAGCUCCUGCUGCAUGGUGGGGGUUGGAAAGUUUCGGCGGUUGGGGAUGGACUCGCGGCUUAUCAGCUUGUUGGUGGGGUAGUGGCUUACCAAGGCUUUGACGGGUAGCCGGCCUGAGAGGGUGACCGGCCAAGGUGGGACGGGAAGGCGACCCAGCCCCCACGGGGAGGCAGGGGGGGAGAAGAGAGCAGAGUGGGAGGGGGGCUAAUGCAGCACCGCCGCGUGGGGGGUAUGGGCCUGCGGUUAGGAAUCCGCUUUCCCCUGUGACGAGGCGUGAGUGACGGUAGGGGGAAAAGAAGCCCCGGCUAACUACGUG